AUUGAACGCUGGCGGCAUGCCUUACACAUGCAAGUCGAACGGUAACAGGUCUUCGGAUGCUGACGAGUGGCGAACGGGUGAGUAAUACAUCGGAACGUGCCUAGUAGUGGGGGAUAACUACUCGAAAGAGUGGCUAAUACCGCAUGAGAUCUACGGAUGAAAGCAGGGGUUCGCAAGACCUUGUGCUACUAGAGCGGCCGAUGGCAGAUUAGGUAGUUGGUGGGAUAAAAGCUUACCAAGCCGACGAUCUGUAGCUGGUCUGAGAGGACGAUCGGCCACACUGGGACUGAGACACGGCCCAGACUCCUACGGGAGGCAGCAGUGGGGAAUUUUGGACAAUGGGCGCAAGCCUGAUCCAGCAAUGCCGCGUGCAGGAUGAAGGCCUUCGGGUUGUAAACUGCUUUUGUACGGAACGAAAAGCCCUGGGUUAAUACCCUGGGGUCAUGACGGUACCGUAAGAAUAAGCACCGGCUAACUACGUGCCAGCCGCCGCCGUAA
rnacentral:rRNA from 1 species